AGCCCCUCUCAGCUUUUCUAUUUGAUCUAUUCAUUGGAGGGGGUUGCGAAUCGUCUCCAGUUGAGGUGGAUCGCGCGGAUCGAUUGAGAGGAAACAGAGGAUCCGCGUGCUGUGGGCGUUUCCUAUUGCCGGUCACUGCCCUCUCCACUUCUUGAAGUUGUGGAGGGUUGCUGCUCGGGUUCACCAUUGGAUAGAUCACCAAUGUCGGCAGAGGUCAGUAGCCCUUGUUCUUCACAGUGCAUUUGGAGGGGAAGUUGCUACGAAUCUGGAUUUGGGCUCCAGCAGUGAUUUCCUUCAGCAACAAAUCAUGAUCUGGAGCAUCUGGAUUGAGCUUCUUGGCAGUGAGCAUCACACCUGUGGCUUCCAACAGUGGGUUGCUCGGAUCGCAAGCUAACAGUGGAGUGCAAUGGAAUUGGGAUUUUGGAUAUGGGACGAUCAUCACGAUGUGUGAUUUAUUUUAUCACGAUUGACAGAUUUAAGGCGGGUAUUUCUUCCUUGGCUCUAUGUAGAUUUUUAUUGAGCUUAGUGCAUGGUUUUCUUUGAUGGAUUAGGUUGUUUUACCU